AACCACUAUUUGCCAGAAAGAAAUAAACACAGCUGUUUUCUUUGGUCGUCCGUCACAACUCUUUGCACCUUUGAGUAAAAUUGCGAUAAUUUACACUUUCCAAUAAAAUAAAUUUCAAUUCUGUGUUAUUUUGAUUUUAAAAUCGCUAUUUUGUGAAAGGCCAGCUGUGGUAUCAACCGCACUUCAAUGCCCAACAAUGGCCAGGUAGAGGAACUUUAUUAAAUCAGUAGCCGUUUUGUGUGGAAAGGCCGAAUACAGCAAUAGACUCGGAAAUAUCUGGAGCUGCGACAAGGUAUGACUACUCCCGUUAUGUGAUUUCCGAAUCAAUGUCGAAUGCAUUUCAAAAUAAUCGAAUCCCGCUAGAGAAGAUAAAAACAUGCGAAACGCCAAAGUGAUGGAUCCCUGAUGUUGAUGGCGUUAUUGAUGUAAAGUUACUACGUCCACACGGAAGACCAAGGCUGUAUUAAAUACGUUCAAUUGCGAUUGAAUUUGAUUAGAUUUUGCUCGUUUUGUCGUAACGGAACAACGAAGCAAAGCAGCAGAGUAUCAUCCGAGUUUUAAUGUGCACACCGUGACGAGUUUCCAACAACUGUCAACUGGAUAAAUAAACAAACCCAUCUGAGCCGCGCCAACCAGCAGCCAUUCAGCCAGAUAUUAUACACCACCACCACCACCGUCAGUCAACAACAAGAACAACAUAAGGCAAUGUCCAACUGGAGCGCCAGUGGAGGAAGUAUGCACCAUCCACAAUACGGUAGUACGUCGUUGUUGCAAACGAAUAUAACAUUCGAUGGCGAAUUGCGGGCUUCUCUUUAUUACAGUUUGAAACUGGCUCUUUUGUAUCCGUUUCUCUCGGUGUUUACCAUUUACUCUCACUUGCACAAACACCUUAUUUUGUCCAAUACCACUGCUGCCAUCUGCUGGUAACGAAAGGUUAUUAAUUCCUUGGCAAUGUAUCUCCUUCCAAUAAAAUGUAUAACACUUAAAACAGUGGUGAACUUCCCCUUUGAAGGGGUAAUGUGGGAUCUAUGUGGAUACAAUCGUUUUAUCAGUUUAUGUAUGUUUAAAUACCUAUAUCGGCUACAAAUCAAUACUGGAUGUUCAUGUCUAUUCUCCUAGUGGCUGUAUAUUUACCACAUAACAAAUGAAUUCUUUCCACUAGCAACAUGUGUUACUACAUACCAGCAAUUAAAGUAUUUCCUAUCUUUCA